rnacentral:misc_RNA from 1 species
GAUGAAGAACGCAGCGAAAUGCGAUACGUAAUGUGAAUUGCAGAAUUCAGUGAAUCAUCGAGUCUUUGAACGCACAUUGCGCCCCCUGGUAUUCCGGGGGGCAUGCCUGUCCGAGCGUCAUUGCUGCCCUCAAGCACGGCUUGUGUGUUGGGCCUCCGUCCUCCUCCCGGGGGACGGGCCCGAAAGGCAGCGGCGGCACCGCGUCCGGUCCUCGAGCGUAUGGGGCUUCGUCACCCGCUCUUGUAGGCCCGGCCGGCGCUUGCCGAUCAACCAAAUUUUUAUCCAGGUUGACCUCGGAUCAGGUAGGGAUACCCGCUGAACUUAAGCAUAUCAAUAAGCGGAGGA